UACGUAGGGUGCGAGCGUUGUCCGGAAUUACUGGGCGUAAAGAGCUCGUAGGUGGUUUGUCGCGUUGUUCGUGAAAACUCACAACUCAAUUGUGGGCGUGCGGGCGAUACGGGCAGACUGGAGUACUGCAGGGGAGACUGGAAUUCCUGGUGUAGCGGUGAAAUGCGCAGAUAUCAGGAAGAACACCCGUGGCGAAGGCGGCUCUCUGGUACGUGACUGACGCUGAGACGCGAAAGCGUGGGGAGCAAACAGG
rnacentral:rRNA from 1 species